rnacentral:rRNA from 1 species
UACAGAGGAGCCAAGCGUUGUCCGGAUUGACUGGGCGUAAAGCGCACGCAGGCGGACGCGCGCGUGGGGUGUGAAAUCUGGCCGCUUAACGGCCAGGCGCCAUCCCAUACGGCGCGUCUGGAGUGAUGCAAAGGUCGAUGGAAUUGCCGGUGUAGUGGUGAAAUGCGUAGAGAUCGGCAGGAACACCCAGGGGGAAACCAGUCGACUGGGCAUCUACUGACGCUGAGGUGCGAGAGCGUGGGGAGCGAACCGG